rnacentral:rRNA from 1 species
ACGAACGCUGGUGGCGUGCUUAACACAUGCAAGUCGAACGGGAUUUAGUAAACAGAAGCCUCGGUGGAAGAUUACUAAUGAGAGUGGCGAACGGGUGAGUAACGCGUGAGCAACCUGCCUAUGACAGUGGGAUAGCCUCGGGAAAUCGGGAUUAAUACCGCAUAAAAUCGUAGAAACACAUGUUUUAACGGUCAAAGAUUUAUCGGUCAUAGAUGGGCUCGCGUCUGAUUAGCUAGUUGGUGAGAUAACAGCCCACCAAGGCGACGAUCAGUAGCCGGUCUGAGAGGAUGAACGGCCACAUUGGAACUGAGACACGGUCCAAACUCCUACGGGAGGCAGCAGUGGGGAAUAUUGCACAAUGGGGGAAACCCUGAUGCAGCGACGCCGCGUGAACGAAGAAGGUAUUCGUAUCGUAAAGUUCUGUCCUAUGGGAAGAUAAUGACAGUACCAUAGAAGAAAGCUCCGGCUAAAUACGUG